rnacentral:rRNA from 1 species
GACGUAGGGCGCGAGCGUUGUCCGGAUUUAUUGGGCGUAAAGAGCCCGUAGGCGGCUUGUUGCGUCGACUGUGAAAACUCGGGGCUUAACCCCGGGCCUGCAGUGGGUACGGGCAGACUAGAGUGCGGUAGGGGAGAUUGGAAUUCCUGGUGUAGCGGUGGAAAUGCGCAGAUAUCAGGAGGAACACCAAUGGCGAAGGCAGAUCUCUGGGCCGUAACUGACGCUGAGGAGCGAAAGCAUGGGGAGCGAACAGG